AUUGAACGCUGGCGGCAUGCCUUACACAUGCAAGUCGAACGGCAGCGGACCUUCGGGUGCCGGCGAGUGGCGAACGGGUGAGUAAUAUAUCGGAACGUACCUUUCAGUGGGGGAUAACGUAGCGAAAGUUACGCUAAUACCGCAUAUUCUGUGAGCAGGAAAGCAGGGGAUCGCAAGACCUUGCGCUGAUUGAGCGGCCGAUAUCAGAUUAGCUAGUUGGUGAGGUAAAGGCUCACCAAGGCGACGAUCUGUAGCGGGUCUGAGAGGAUGAUCCGCCACACUGGAACUGAGACACGGUCCAGACUCCUACGGGAGGCAGCAGUGGGGAAUUUUGGACAAUGGGCGCAAGCCUGAUCCAGCCAUGCCGCGUGAGUGAAGAAGGCCUCGGUUGUAAGACUCUUCGUCC
rnacentral:rRNA from 1 species